CCUACGGGAGGCAGCAGUGAGGAAUAUUGGUCAAUGGCCGUAAGGCUGAACCAGCCAAGUCGCGUGAAGGAAGAAGGAUCUAUGGUUUGUAAACUUCUUUUAUAGGGGAAUAAAGGUAUCCACGUGUGGAUAUUUGCAUGUACCCUAUGAAUAAGCAUCGGCUAACUCCGUGCCAGCAGCCGCGGUAAUACGGAGGAUGCGAGCGUUAUCCGGAUUUAUUGGGUUUAAAGGGUGCGUAGGUUGUUUUUUAAGUCAGCGGGGAAAGUUUGUGGGUCAACCAUAAAAUUGCCGUUGAAACUGGAAGACUUGAGUGUGUUUGAGGUAGGCGGAAUGCGUGGUGUAGCGGUGAAAUGCAUAGAUAUCACGCAGAACUCCGAUUGCGAAGGCAGCUUACUAAGCCAUAACUGACACUGAAGCACGAAAGCGUGGGGAUCAAACAGGAUUAGAUACCCCGGUAGUC
rnacentral:rRNA from 1 species